AGCAGCUGCAGUAAUUCCAGCUCCAAUAGCGUAUAUUAAAGUUGUUGCAGUUAAAAAGCUCGUAGUUGAAUUUCGGGACUAAUAUGUCGGUCGUACUUUGUACGUACUAGCAUUAUUGGUUUCUCCCUUCUGACGAACCACGAUGUCAUUAAUUUGGUGUCAUGGGAAAUCAGGACUGUUACUUUGAAAAAAUUAGAGUGUUUAAAGCAAGCUCACGCUUGAAUACAUUAGCAUGGAAUAAUGAAAUAGGACGUUUGAUUCCAUUUUGUUGGUUUCUUAGGAUCGACGUAAUGAUUAAUAGGGAUAGUUGGGGGCAUUAGUAUUCAAUUGUCAGAGGUGAAAUUCUUGGAUUUAUUGAAGACUAACUACUGCGAAAGCAUUUGCCAAGGAUGUUUUCAUUAAUCAAGAACGAAAGUUAGGGGAUCGAAGACGAUCAGAUACCGUCGUAGUCUUAACCAUAAACUAUGCCGACUAGGGAUCGGAUGAUGUUAAUUUUUAAUGACUCAUUCGGCGCCUUAAC
rnacentral:rRNA from 1 species